UACGAAGGGGGCUAGCGUUGUUCGGAAUCACUGGGCGUAAAGGGCGCGUAGGCGGCUGUUCAAGUCGGGGGUGAAAUCCCGUGGCUCAACCACGGAAUGGCCUUCGAUACUGGACGGCUCGAGACCGGAAGAGGUGAGUGGAACUGCGAGUGUAGAGGUGAAAUUCGUAGAUAUCAAGCGGAACACCGGUGGCGAAGGCGGCCUUCUGGACAGUGACUGACGCUGAGACGCGAAAGCGUGGGGAGCAAACAGG
rnacentral:rRNA from 1 species